UGUCAGUUAUCAGAAGUUUCAUAUUUUGAAUGAGGCGAUCUGUGCAUCGGGAUCUUUGGAUUAUCAAUGCAUUUUCUAAAACUCUUGUAAAAGUUUUAGGUUUGCUGACUGAAGUUUGUUUUGUAUGGUGGUUUUUGACUUGAGAUGGACUCUCUACAAUCUCUGCAAGCAGAAAACCAGGUGCUACGACAGGAAUUGGCAGAAAUGGAACAAAAGCUUGCAUCUAGUGAGCCAUUUGAUGUGAAAUAUGGCUCUUUCAGCAAAGGGGCUGGACACUUUCAUAUGACUGCAGGGGCGUCUGAUAUGUCAGGGUUAAAUUCUCCUCAUAAUAUGAUACAGCAGAUACUGACACUGCGCCGGCGGCUGGAGGAAGAACAGUCCACCUAUAAACGUAAAUUACUGUCGUACCAGGAAGGACAGCAGAGGCAGGCAUUACUAAUUCAGAAGCUACAGG